AGAUAUCAAGAUUGAUUUUCACGAAUUCGGGAAACGCUAUCUUGGCUUUGGCAUCAAACGCUAUUCAUCUUCUAUGGAAAUGGCAGCGGAAUGACCGCAACGCAACUGGAAAGGCGACAGCUUCUUUACCGCCUCAGCAAUGGCAACCAGCAAGUGG